rnacentral:tRNA from 1 species
GGCUCCGUCGCCAAGUGGCUAAGGCAAUGGAUUGCAAAUCCAUCAUGCGUCGGUUCAAAUCCGACCGGAGCCU